GAUGAACGCUAGCGACAGGCCUAACACAUGCAAGUCGAGGGGCAUCGGGACGUAGCAAUACGUUGCCGGCGACCGGCGGAUGGGUGAGUAACGCGUAUGCAACCUACCCGUAGCAGGGGGAUAGCCCGUUGAAAGACGGAUUAAUACCCCGUAACACAGGGGCUCCGCAUGGAGAUUAUUGUUAAAGGGUCAUUUCUUUUUCAGGGAUGGUCCGGCUACGGAUGGGCGUGCGUUCCAUUAGGUAGUUGGUGUAGGUAACGGCUCACCAAGCCGACGAUGGAUAGGGGAACUGAGAGGUUGGUCCCCCACACUGGUACUGAGACACGGACCAGACUCCUACGGGAGGCAGCAGUGAGGAAUCUUGGUCAAUGGACGCAAGUCUGAACCGGCCAUGUCGCGUGAAGGAGGACGGCCCUAAGGGUUGUAAACUUCUUUUGCAGUGGAAUAAAGUUUGCCACGUGUUGGCGAUUUGCAAGUACGCUGCGAAUAAGGAUCGGCUAACUCCGUGCCAGCAGCCCGCGGUAGUACGGAGGAUCCGGCGUUAU
rnacentral:rRNA from 1 species